rnacentral:rRNA from 1 species
ACAGUGCCUGGUGGGUAGUUUGACUGGGGCGGUCUCCUCCCAAAGAGUAACGGAGGAGCACGAAGGUGGGCUAAUCACGGUUGGACAUCGUGAGGUUAGUGCAAUGGCAUAAGCCCGCUUAACUGCGAGAAUGACGGUUCGAGCAGGUGCGAAAGCAGGUCAUAGUGAUCCGGUGGUUCUGUAUGGAAGGGCCAUCGCUCAACGGAUAAAAGGUACUCCGGGGAUAACAGGCUGAUACCGCCCAAGAGUUCAUAUCGACGGCGGUGUUUGGCACCUCGAUGUCGGCUCAUCACAUCCUGGGGCUGAAGUCGGUCCCAAGGGUAUGGCUGUUCGCCAUUUAAAGUGGUACGCGAGCUGGGUUUAGAACGUCGUGAGACAGUUCGGUCCCUAUCUGCCGUGGGCGUUGGAAGAUUGAAGGGGGCUGCUCCUAGUACGAGAGGACCGGAGUGGACGAACCUCUGGUGUUCGGGUUGUGUCGCCAGACGCAUUGCCCGGUAGCUAAGUUCGGAAUUGAUAAGCGCUGAAAGCAUCUAAGCGCGAAGCGAGCCCUGAGAUGAGUCUUCCCUGA